rnacentral:rRNA from 1 species
CCUACGGGAGGCAGCAGUGGGGAAUUUUGCGCAAUGGGCGAAAGCCUGACGCAGCAACGCCGCGUGUGUGAUGAAGGUCUUCGGAUUGUAAAGCACUUUCGACCGGGACGAAAACCCGUUGGCUAACAUCCAACGGCUUGACGGUACCGGGAGAAGAAGCACCGGCUAACUCUGUGCCAGCAGCCGCGGUAAUACAGAGGGUGCAAGCGUUGUUCGGAAUUAUUGGGCGUAAAGCGCGUGUAGGCGGCGUGACAAGUCGGGUGUGAAAGCCCUCA